CCCUUAGAUGUUCUGGGCCGCACGCGCGCUACACUGACUACUUCAACGAGUUGUUUCCUUGAUCGAAAGGUCUGGGUAAUCUUUGAACGCUGUUCGUGAUUGGGAUAGACCUUUGCAAUUAUGGGUCUUCAACGAGGAAUUCCUAGUAAACGCAAGUCAUCAGCUUGCAUUGAUUACGUCCCUGCCCUUUGUACACACCGCCCGUCGCACCUACCGAUUGAAUGGUCCGGUGAAAUCUCGGGACGGCGGCUUGGUCGCUUGCGUCCGACUGCUGAAACUUGAUUAAACCAUAUCAUUUAGAGGAAGGUGAAGUCGUAACA
rnacentral:rRNA from 1 species